GAAACGCGAUAGUUAAUGUGAAUUGCAGAAUUCAGUGAAUCAUCGAGUCUUUGAACGCACAUUGCGCCUUUUGGUAUUCCGGGGGGUAUGCCUGUCCGAGCGUCAUUGCUGCCCUCAAGCACGGCUUGUGUGUUGGGUCGUCGUCCCCCCUCCCGGGGGGGACGGGCCCGAAAGGCAGCGGCGGCACCGCGUCCGGUCCUCGAGCGUAUGGGGCUUUGUCACCCGCUCUUGUAGGCCCGGCCGGCGCUGGCCGACGCUGAAAAGCAACCAACUAUUUCUCCAGGUUGACCUCGGAUCAGGUAGGGAUACCCGCUGAACUUAA
rnacentral:misc_RNA from 1 species